AUUGAACGCUGGCGGCAUGCCUAACACAUGCAAGUCGAACGGAAGAACGGGGCUUUGCCCUUGGUUGCGAGUGGCGCAGGGGAGAGAAACACAUGAGUACACGUCCUAGUGGGGGGGAAAGUCCGGAGAAAGCCGGUUUUAUAGCGCACGCGAUGUGCGGGAGAGAGGGGGGGACUUGCAGCUCUCGCGCUCAGGGGAUGCUAGGUCGGAUUUGCUAGUUGGUGGGGUAAAGGCCUACCAAGGCGACGAUCCGUAACUGGUCUGAGAGGAGGAUCAGUCACACUGGAACUGAGACACGGUCCAGACUCCUACGGGAGGCAGCAGUGGGGAAUAUUGGACAAUGGGCGAAAGCCUGAUCCAGCCAUGCCGCGUGUGUGAAGAAGGCCUUCGGAUUGUAAAGCACUUUAAGUUGGGAGGAAGGGCUGUAAGUUAAUACCUUGCUGUUUUGACGGUACCGGCAGAAUAAGCACCGGCUAACUUCGUG
rnacentral:rRNA from 1 species